GAUGAAGAACGUAGCGAAAUGCGAUAAGUAAUGUGAAUUGCAGAAUUCAGUGACUCAUCGAAUCUUUGAACGCACAUUGCGCCCGCCAGUAUUCUGGCGGGCAUGCCUGUUCGAGCGUCAUUUCAACCAUCAAGCCCCAGGCUUGUGUUGGAGCCCUGCGGCUGCCGCAGCCUCCCAAAACCAGUGGCGGGCUCGCUAUCACACCGAGUGCAGUAGUUUACUCUUCGCUCAGGGCGUGUGGCGGGUGCUAGCCGUAAAACCCCCAACUUCUCAAGGUUGACCUCGGAUCAGGUAGGAAUACCCGCUGAACUUAAGCAUAUCAAUAAGCGGAGGA
rnacentral:misc_RNA from 1 species